GAUGAACGCUGGCGGCGUGCCUAAUACAUGCCAGUCGAGCGAACAGACGAGGAGCUUGCUCCUCUGACGUUAGCGGCGGACGGGUGAGUAACACGUGGAUAACCUACCUAUAAGACUGGGAUAACUUCGGGAAACCGGAGCUAAUACCGGAUAAUAUAUUGAACCGCAUGGUUCAAUAGUGAAAGACGGUUUUGCUGUCACUUAUAGAUGGAUCCGCGCCGCAUUAGCUAGUUGGUAAGGUAACGGCUUACCAAGGCAAUGAUGCGUAGCCGACCUGAGAGGGUGAUCGGCCACACUGGAACUGAGACACGGUCCAGACUCCUACGGGAGGCAGCAGUAGGGAAUCUUCCGCAAUGGGCGAAAGCCUGACGGAGCAACGCCGCGUGAGUGAUGAAGGUCUUCGGAUCGUAAAACUCUGUUAUUAGGGAAGAACAAAUGUGUAAGUAACUAUGCACGUCUUGACGGUACCUAAUCAGAAAGCCACGGCUAACUACGUG
rnacentral:rRNA from 1 species